GUGAAUUGCACAGUCCUGUCAAAAGUUUGCCAGUAUGAAGUCAUCUUGCACGAUGUUAUAAGGCUGUUUAAGGAUGUCUGUCUGUAAGUAUUCUAUUGUCACAAGAUGUUGCAAUAUGUUACAUGCUCACAUGAAGCACCUUAAGUUGUUUUAUGUCUAAAAAGUCGGAGGAAAAUGGGACGCUAAUAGCGCUAGCAACCCUAUGGGUUUUUCAAUGUAAAUUAGCAUCAUGCUAACCGCUUGUGAUUUGUGUGUUCAUUCAGUUGUGACCUGGCCUGCAUUUCUGUUUUACGUGCAUUUAGUCUAUAUGACUGCUGGAUUUACAGUGUGUAUGUGGAUUCCUUUAAGAGUUAGAGCUUAAGUUGUAGUGAAUACUGCUGCGAGCUAUUUGUGCCAGUUAUUUAGGGGCAUAUCUCAGUGAUCGCCCUCUAAUAUUUAAAGUAAAUGAUGAUGCAUAAGUAGGACUGUCAUUAUGUCACAUAGCAUCCAAACAGGGAAGGACUUUUUGAUUCAUUCAGAAGUGUAUUCCUGUUUGCAUCCUCAACAGAUGCAUUAAAUAGCAGUAGUACCCAUACAAAGUCCUUCCCUCUUUAACUUUUAUGUGGGUAUGUCCUUCUUACUUAUUUGAAGGUCCAGUGACACUGCCAAAGCUCAUUUGUUGUGGUUUCUUUGUUUGUUUUCUUUAUUUCUGUGAAUCUUUUUUUGUUGCAGGUUGUUGUGUUAACACAUAUGAUCGUUUCUAGGAGGGGUGAGAAUCAGUGGACACCCCACAAUACGAUAUUAUCACAAUACUUGGGCCACAAUUCGAUACUAUUGCGUUACAGUGUGUAUUGCAAUACCAUAUAUGCCAUGAUAUGUUCUGUUGAUUUAGUUUUUCACUGGUUUUGUUUUUUUAGUGUAUUUUCUGUGUCUUUCCCUAGUGCUUCAUUCCUUUUCAUUCCUGUUCCCCUGUAGUCCAGUCUUGUGAGUUUUCAGUUUGUGUUUGACCCUGUCUCCCCCCUGUCAGUGUUUUAUUCUUUAGAUAAGGUUUUGGUGUUUCCUGUUUUAUUUUGUAGUAGUUAAACUUUGUGUUUCUAGUCUGGUUUUAUUCCCCUAGUUUUCCCUCCUUCGUUAAUCACUCAUGAGUUUCACCUGUGUCUCGUUUGCCUCACCUGUUGCUCGUUUCCCAAUGUGUAUAUUGACCCUGUCUUCCCCUCUGUCCUUGUUGGUUUAUUGUAUGUCGAUGAGUAUGCCUGUGUCCCCAGUUGCUCCCUGUGAUUUUGCCCCAGUGAUUUUUGUGGAUUUUGUCUUUUGGAUUUUUCUCUAUUGUUGCUUUUUUCAUCUAGUUCUUUUAAUUAAAUCCUUUGUUCUGAAUUUGAGUCUUGUCCGUUUAACCCUGUGCGGUGAUAAUUUUUUCAGCUACUUAGCUGAUUUGGCAUUUGUCUUUCCUUUAUGUUGCCUUAUUUACAUAGUAUUUUAUUUUUGUUUAGCACUUCUUGCAAACUUCAUAUGUCAUGUCCAUCUCAUUUGUGCCCUGCUUGUAUUCCUUAUGUCCCUCGCCAGGUGCUGUUUGUUUUACUAACUUUCUCCUUCUCUAUGAUGUCACUUAACAAACACACAAUUGAUUUUAUUUUUCCAUUAUCAUUGACUUGAGUUCAUAUUAGCAAUUAGUUUGAAAAAAUUGAUACUUGGUGAGUGAGACGAUACGAUAUAUCACCAGACAAAAUAUCCCAAUACUGUAUCGAUUUUUUCUCCCACUCCUAGUUUCUGGUCGGUUGUGUUUUUUCCUACCCCCUGUCUUCUUCUUCUUUGCCUUUUCAAACAGUAAGUUUUGUGCUCUUGAAGUGAAUUUAGAGUACCAGCAAAAUAUUUCCCACGUUAACUUUAGAUGCUAUUGGUUUGAAAAUCUCUAUGUCAUAAUGGAAGAGUUGAAACCAACUGCACACUAGAUGUGUAAUAUGUCUUAGCAGGUUGUCUCUACCAUUGCUUUUGCUACACCAAUCAGAAUUUGAGAUUUAAAUAAAGUUGUGGUUACUAAAAAAAAAGCUGGGUAGUAAAAGUUGCAUUUAUCCUAAAUCAUCUUCUUCCUUUUGAUCUAUGUUGAAUAUUUUAAGAACAGCUCAGCGACAAUGCCCACUUACAUUUUCAUACCAGUGAGUUUUAUUGUGUAGCCUAACUCAUGGGGUCAACACAAACUCACUAUUGUUACUGUUUGUUGCCUUGUACAGAAAUUAAAUCUUUCCAGAUAAAUGGCACAGAUUCCCUCUCUUUCUGUCUUUCUUGGGGCUGAACCUCACAGACUUUUUUUUUUUUAAAUACCAUUUCCCUCUCAGGCUUUGGUAGUCUCAUUACUUCUUUAAAUAGAAUUAAAAUAGCUGAGGGGUCUUUGCUCAGCUGUGCGGAUUUAAACCUGCAGUUUGCAGCUCUUGUUUGAUUUCUGGACCAUUAUAUUAUUAGUUUUAAUCAGCCAUGAAAAAGGUUUGAAGCUCUACAUUUCUGCUUAUCAAGGGAAAUUUGAUGAAAUAUACCUGUGCUCUGAAAAACACCAUUAAGAACAACUUCUAAGUAAUUAAAAGCAACUGCUUCUCAAUUAUUUAUCAUAAAAGAAUCAAUCAGGAUUGAUAGAUAAAAGUUGUUAUUAGGAUAUUGAUUUAGAUGGAUUCAUUCUGCCUGUCUUCAUCAAGCUAAAUGAGCUGAAUCAGACCAAAUAUUUGAUAUAAAAAAGUAAAGCAAACAAAAAUACUAUUAUAUUAAUUAUUACCGAUAAUCUUUUGACACCAGCUACUUUCCUCAUAGGCUCAUCAUCCCCCUCUACCCCCAGCAUCCUUAUUUCCCCUAUCCUCCCAGUAACCUCAUUCCACAUCCCACAGAAGUGCUGACUGCUUAUGCCAAGCAUAAACAUAAGAAGAUGACAAACAUGACAAAGGAACUGACUGAUAUGAAUGAUUUCAUACGAUUUGGUCGAUAAUAAACCAAUACAGAAGGCUAGUCCUCUCAGCGUUGAAGCGACAUCAUUUGAAUGCAACUAAAUCCCCUGGGUGGGGAGCACCACAACGAAAGUUGAAAGCGGCAACAGAUGUUGGAGAUGAAGCUGGGAGAUAAUGACUGGUUUCCCAAGGCUUGAUUGCAGCCAUUCACAUUCAGACUGCUGAGGUCAAAACUUGGUCCUUGCUCUUAACAAAAGCUGCAGUAAAGUGUUGUUUUUUUUGUUUUUUAAUUCAGUGCACGAACGCUGGUUGGGAGGUUCAGAUAAAGAAAGUAUAUUGCCACCUCGAGCUCUACACAGAAUUUCAUUGUUUAGUAACUGGAAAACCCUUUCCCCUAAAAACCCAGUUUGAAUAAACGCAUGUAAAGCACUCUAAACAAAGAGUCUGAUUUUCAUCAUAGGUUUACUGAUCUGUGUUGAAUUGUUGUGUAAUAACAGAGUAAGAGAUGCAGCCAGCUGACAGCAGCAUGACAGGUAUUAUUUAUGUUCAUGGAUGAUGGAGGAGCUGUCAUUUUGAAUAGGCAUCAUAUUGAAGGAUGUGAGUGUGAAUUCAGCUGAUGAGGAAAAUAGUAGCACUUCAUCCCAAAUAUUUCACCAAAACAAAAAUGUCCCCCAUGACUAAAAAUGGAAAGAAGGAACAUUUAGAUCUGUGUGUCCGCUGACUCCCUUAUGAGGCCCUGACUGACCGCUACAUCACAUAUACUGACCCAAACCAUUGUUUUCAACUAAUCAGCAAGUCUCAAGUCUUUUGUUUAUCACUCCACUUUGUAAAGCGACCCUGGGUUCUUUAAAAACACUAUAUAAAUUCAGUGUAUUAUUAUUAGUAUCAAGUCUUAUUGAGUUUUGGGUCAACCCAGAGGUCAAAACCAACCCUCUUAAAGUUUAAGUGUUUACAUAAACACCUCGGUUCAUCCAAGAAAUAAUAUUGAUUCUCGGAGAGUGCAUUAUUAUUUUGGUUAAAGAGUCCUCUGUGAUUAUAGGUCAACAUUUUCCUCAGGUGGUGCCAAAGAGGUCAAUGAGAGGAUGCCCUGGGCUGACUCAUGACUUUAAUGAUUUUAAAUUCCUGGCUGCAGCUCUGCAAAAUUAACUGAAAUACAUUUGAUUAUUUUUUAGUGUUUUUUUUUUUUCUUUUUUAAUGUUAUUUGGAUGCAAUAAUCAAAAACCUGCAGUCACAUUUGCGUUAAACAGAGAAAUACAGAUGCACUUACAAUAUUUUACGGACUAUAACGGUUCUUUCACACCGGGAGCUUUUUUUUUUUUUGUGCAAUUAUUUCGGACGUCAAUAUAUUUUUUCAAACCCAUAUUCUGUCAAUACAAGCGUUCACAUCAGCAACGAUUUCUCGUCCUGCGAUAAUGUGGCAUUUAUUUUUUCGGAUCAUGGUUGAUUUUUCUGAAGGUUCACAUACUGUGUGUCCCCUUCUGACCAAUCAGAUUGCGUGUUGUUGCGACAUCUGAUUCACUGGUAUAUCCAACAUGGCCGACUGGCUGAUUGUUAACGUGACGGAGAACAGAGUGCUUUUUGAUAAAAGACACAAAUGUUACAAAGAAAACAACCUGAAGGACAAGUUAAAGGAGAGUCAUAGCGUCUGAUUUCUCAUAUGACGGUGGUUUAUUUACUUUCACAGUUUGCUAAACGUCUUUGUUUUAACUUUCAUCUGUGCUAAGUAACUUUAGCUCGUAAGCUAACCUGUUCAGAUACAACAUACCAUAUGUAUUUUCACUGUUUCAAACUCGAUCACGUUGCUGUCACAGCACCAUUAGGUCUUGUUUGUUACCUUAGGUUUAUGGAUUAUAGUUUAAUGUGCUUAUCUGGUACUGGCCCCGACUCAGUACAUGCUAUCAUGACAGACAGACAUCUCAACACUAGUGUCUAAUCAGAACUGAAAAACAGUCAGUCUGCUGUUGUGUCAGUCUUCUCACUUUCACCCGGGAUGUGUCUUUUUUCCCCCCAGAAAGUCGCAAAAUCGCAUCGGGCUUGAUAGUCAGGCGCGUCAAAAUUCGCCUUCGAAUAUUUCGUAAUUUCAAGUCAUAUAUUUGCGUCGGUCCCUGUGUGUAAGGACCUUAAUUCGCGCUUUUUUUCAUAGUUUGAUUGGGUUUGCGACAUACUCAGGUGUGAUUUACAUAUAUUAAAAUAUAUAAUUUCACAUGUUUGUUAUUUUCACACUGACAGCCGCUAGAGGGCACUCUAGUUGUUCAGAAGUGACACAGAGGAUGAGGAAUUCGAUGGAUUUUGUGAUUUUGAGUGAGAUCAAGAGUUUGGUAAACUUGUUUUGUUAUGUUCUGUAUACUACAGUUAUCUGAAUAUGUUAUGUUAACAUACCAGACACGUAUUAAGUUCGUUGUUUAUGCUUCAUGUAGCUGAAUACGCUAGCAUACCAUACACCUAUUCACUCUGUUCUCUAUUCUAUUGUUUUUAUCAUAACUUGCCUUUCAAGAUGAAAUGUCUGUUCUUGGUCUUGGAUUUUGUAAAAUAAAUUUUUCCCCCCAAAAUGCGACUUAUAUCGGUAUAUAUUUUUUCUUCUUCAUUAUGCAUUUUUUUUUGGCUGGUGCGACUUAUGGUCCAGAAAAUACUGUUGUUUUUGACUUGUUAUUGAACAGUAUCAAAGUUUUAACUCCUCUCAUGUCUUGUGACUAUUAAACACCUGUCAUGCAAAGAAGAUCACAAUCUUAGUUAUGUAUAAUGCAUUCACUACAUCACCAAAAAUGUGUGAAAGAAAAGCUUCCAGAUUAUUCUGCCCCUCUCCUGCCCCCUCCUCCACUUGACAUUUGAUCAGGCGCAGAGAAUCAAUAUCCGGGUUGAUCAGUGUCUUGUAAUUAUACUGAGGUAACACACUGAUAAGAGGCCAGGCUCCUGCUCGCUCACUAUCUGACUUGAUGCUAAACAAGACACAUGGACAAAAACACACACAUGCAUGCACAUACUGACCAUGUUUUGCACCACCAUGACCUGCUUUAACCCUGCAGAAAAGUAAAUGUCUUCACCACAGCACCCCCAACGGAUGGUAAAACAACACUCCAGGCCUCAACUACACCUUGAUCUCUGUUUGUUACUAACCCUUGAUUUAAACUAAUGUUUGAUUGCAGUUUCUGAAUUUUUAAUAGCCUCAUAUAAUGCACCAGUAAUCAAGAUGAAUGUGUUUAUCAGUAUACAUCACCAUUCAGAUCUUAUGGAGAAUGUAUGUUAGGAAAGGAAAGAAAGGGAGAUCAGAUAACAUCGAAUUGAAAUCCAGAACUUUUCAUUGUUUAAACUGCAUCAACCCCAAGUUUGUCAUCUUAUUUGACUAAUGGUGAAGAAAGGCAACACAUACACUCUCACAUACGUACACUCACACAUAUACACACAAAGUUAAGUGGACCAACUAUUAGAGCCAUGAUCCAUUUACUUUUAUCUGGCGGUGAUUGAGAGCUGCAUUUGCUCCCUCCCUGGCUCCUUUCAUAUUGCCUCAUUGGUGACACAUAAACCUGGCACGCUGCUUAAUGGGAUCUCAUCCAUAAUGUUGAAUGAAGGGGGCAAUCAUUUCAUGUGAAGAGAUUAAAAAUAUGAUCUCUAACAAGGGGCCCUGCUGCCCACACCGACUCCCUGUAGUCUAAUAAAUUUCAGAGAUGAGAGGGGCCUCCAGAUGUGGAUCUUUGCUUUGGAUCUGAUCGUGUGAUAGUGAACACAUCUAUUCACCUUGAAGAAAUCCAAAUACAUCCUUUAGGUCUUUCUUUUACAAUGAGUUUAGCUUUCUUUGAAUGAUUAAAAAAAUAUUCAUGUUAUUUAAUUCAUUGCCAAAAACCUCAUUUUACAAGAUUCUUUUCAUUUUGUUGUUUUACUCAUUACUGCAUACAAAAUUAAGUCUUUUUUUUCUUGCUGAUGUUACUCCAUCAUACACAUAGUGCAAUGCAUUUUGACAUGCAGCAUCUUGGCAUGCAGCCCCCUACACCAGGUUCUUUGUUAGUCCAAGGUGUACACACUUCCUGCUUCCUUAAGACACCAAACCACACCUCACUUUAAGAUCAACACACCCACAGACAAUAAUGUAGGUGCAAUUUCAUCUGCCAUUUUCACAAUACGGGUGCUGGGCUUCAAGAACUGUAACAGAAUUGAAUGGAAAUCAAUAACACCUGCUGCCCGUCAAAUACAUUGUGCUAUCUUUAACUUUGGUGGCACAGUACUUCCCUUCACAACACAGCCAUGUAGCUGUGCAGAUGAUUUUAAAUUGUAUAUGUACAAUGGAGGGAGAGAAGUUACAUGCACCACGUCCUUCCUCCUUUCAACGUGCUCUCAUCCCACUUUGUUGAAUCCAGAUGUUUUGUCCUUACCUGAUUGCUGCUGAGGAGAAUGGUGAUGAUCUGCAUGAAAAGCACCUUCCUGAAACCAACAUUGCGCAGUAGCAUUGUACACACUCUACCACUUGCGCAGUACAAUUGUACGCAUUCGGCGGGAGAGUCGCUGUAAUGAUGCUCGGCUCAAACAGCGUAUCACCCCAGUGAGCUACACAAUCUUUGUACCCCCAUAGACUGUAUCAAGUGCCAAUCAUAGAAAACAUGAACCCCCUAAUAACUUUUAAAAACGUAGCUGCACAGAAAAAACGGGAUUUGAGCACAAACCAGUCUCACAGUAUCUACAUGUCAACAUCACAAGCAGGGGGGAAAAAUUAUGUAUAUUCUAUGUAAUUAAUUUCUAAAGUUUGUCUACAACCCCAUAGGUAUUGCUGGAGGAGGCGGGAUUUAUGACCUAUACUGCAGCCCGUCACCAGAGGGUGCUGUUCUCAGGGUGGCUUCACCCAGUGAGGAGGCAGACGGCGUCCAUUCUAUAUACAGUCUAUGGUGUCGAUGGAACACAUUGCCAUGUUGAUGAGGAUUUUCUCUAUUCCCAG